AAUAAUAAAAAAAAAAAAAAAAAAAAAUAAAAAAAAAAAAAAAAAAAAUAAAAAAAAAGAAAGAAAAAAUAUAAAAAAAGAUAUAUAAAAAAAAUAGAAAAAAAAAAUAUAAUAAUUAAAAAAAUAUAAAAAAAAUAUGUAGAUAAAAAUGAAUGACGAACUUGGACAGUCCAUAGUAAAAUAGCUUUCGAAUGAAGUAGAGGGCUAAAGAAGAAUGUUGCAGUUUUUGCUGUGGAACUCUGAGAACAUCAUUUGGAAAAAAAUUAAUAAAAAUAUAUAUAUAUAAAAAAUUAUUAAAAAAAAAUACAAAAAUAAUUAUUUAUUAGUAGAAUUGUUUAUUAUAUUAGUAUUAGUUUUAGGAUAAGAUACGAAAAAAUGACUAAUAAAAUAAAAAAUAGUAAAAUUGGCGAAUGGAUUUAGUGUCCGCAGUCAUAUAAACCCAAACAAACAACAACAAGCUUCUGACCAUAAUGAUCAAAACGUUUCCAUAUAUUCAUAAAAUACGUUAGACUUUAGGGACAUUUCAUCGAUACAUAAAAUGCAGGCUUGUCUUGUUCUAACAUUGUCCGUGAUGAUAUUCUCCAAAUCGUACGUUCGCUAUCUUUGUCAUACAACGCACUCAGUCGAACAGAAUGUAGUGACAAGAAGUGACAAACAACGCUAUGAAAUAUUUGACACGGCUUCAGGAAUAUUUGCUUUGAAUGGGGUUUGUAUGUUGAUUGUCUAGUCACAGAUUGGAUUGAGUUGUUUAUUAAAUAAUAUUGUUUGUGUAUUUGAUAAAUAAUUGACUUAAGGCGUGAAAUUAAUAAAAAGUUAUUUAUUGUUUAUUAUUUAUGGAAGAUCCAAGCAGAGAACGAAUAUAAUGAAUUAGGAAAUACCUCGACAAACAAGUAAUUGGUCCUAGGUUUUCACCCAAAGUAAUCGAAAGUAGAACUGGAAGUCGAUAUUGGAACUCUUCGUGUAACUUUGCGUCGAUUGAUCUACGAUUUUAUUAAUUUUGUCAUCUUGUUUUACAUUCAUAUUUUGAGUGACUUUAAAGCAGUACCUACGGUUGUAACUCUAAAACCGAAGUCCGAUGUCAAAUUUCUCAUCUUUAAUACCAUCCAUGGGUUAUAAGCUUUCAUUCGACACCUCAUUUGUCAUUCUAUGUGUAUUAGUAACUGAGGAGUUGUAUUCGCGGUCGGACGGAUAUCACUUGUGCUAUUGCGGUGACUUUAAAAUAGUACUUCCGGUCGCAUUUCUAAAACCGGAAGUCCUAGGUCAAAUUUCCCACCUUUAGUACCAUCCAUGGAUUAUGAGCUUUCAUUUGACACCUCAUUUGUCAUUCUACCUGGUAUAGUGACUGAAGGAGUUAUAUUCGCGGUCGGACGGACAGACAGCCUAUUAGGUCACACCAAGUCGUUCAAAUUCUCACCAACUUGUUCACACUUUUUCAAAAUUGGUGAAAACAACAAAUUAUAUUUUGUAUCGUUGUAUCAAUAUAAGCCAAAAAGAAUAAUUAGUGAAUGUCACGCCACUAUAAUAUAUUUUAUUAUUGGUCUUUCAAUGCUAAAAUCAGGAUAAAAAAGGUAUUUUAUCCAUGGUUUUAAUCAAUAUAAUUCUCACCAUUACUUUGUGUUGUAUUUGCAACCUUUUGUAAAUCAAAAAUAAUUCCACCAUAUUAAGAAUGUCAACAAAAGCCUGCCCUGCAUGCAACCUUUUUCUCAGUGCAACUAAAAUUUUAUUGAUACACGCCAGAAAUGUGCGAGACUUUUCUCAGUGUAUUCGCGUGUACACUUGCCAACUCGAUACUAAAAUUAAGUACAUGCUAACAACAAAAGAAUCGCCGUCCGUGUCGGUUCUUGUGAGAGAUAUGUAUUCUUUGACAUAAUGUUCAUUCUACAAUAUAAUAUAUACAGUGCGUCCAUAAAGUAACGCAUAAAUUCAUUAUUUCGUAAACCGGCGACCUUAAAGAAAACUCCCAAAACAGGUCGAUUUUUAUUUUUAAUUUCUCAUUUUUUGCCAUAUAUAUCAUAGUAGUGACGUCAUCCAUCUGGGCCUGAUGACGUAAUCGAUGAUUUUUUUAAAUGAGAAUAGGGGUCAUGUGAUAGCUCAUUUGAAAGGGUAUUCAAUUCUCUAUUCACUAAUGUAAACAAUAAUAUAAUUAUUUAUACAGAGUGGUCAAAAAAAUAUUUUUUAAUUAAAAUAAUCGAGACAAAAAGAAGAAUGUAUGUAAUUUAUUUAAUUCAAAAUGCGUUUUGCUACUGUCAGUAAACAGAAAAAAAUUAUUUGACAAAUAAACAUUGAUUUUCGCUUGAACGAAAUGUUCAAACUGGCAAGAGGCAGGUGGGUGGCAGCUUUAACAUUGAAUUUAAGCAAAAAACAAUAUUUAUUUGUCAAAUAAAUUUUUUUCCUGUUUUCUGACAACAUUAAAACGUAUUUUGAAUUAGAUAAAUUACAUACAUUCUUCUUUUUGUUUCAAUUAUUUUAAUUAAAAAAAUGUGUUUUUGAACACCUUGUAUAAAUACUUAUGUUAAUGUUUAUAUUAGGGAAUAGAGAAUUGAAUACCCGUUCAAAUGAGCUAUCACAUGACCCCUAUUCUCAUUUAAAAAAAUCAACUAUUACGUCAUCACGCCCAGAUGGACGACGUCACUAGUAUGAUGUAUAUGCCAAAAAAUCGGAAAUUAAAAAUAAAAAUCGACCUAUUUCGGUAUUUUUCUUUAAAGUCGUCGGUUUACGAAAUAAUGAAUUUAUGCGUUACUUUAUGGACGCACUGUAGAACCAGAACAGUCUACACGUUUGUACUAAAGAAACAUGUAAAAAAUUGAUGAUAUUUGACUCUGAUUUACUUAAUGGGCAUUAGGGGGGAAAUAUUAGCCAAUAUGAAGAAUAAAAGCUGUGAUUGUGAUAGGUCAUAACUUCCCAGUGACUGAAGAAAUAUUAAAUUCCAUGGAGUUUUUUGGUGUCUACUGAUAGGAUUAAUAGGAUAGCAUCAAAUGGAUGACGAAUAAUACGGGACAUCGCUGAAGCCACUAAUAGACAGGUUACACAUUAAAAGUGGUAUCUUGAAAAAAAGUUAAAUCUAACAGCAAGUACUUUUGGACAAAUCGUCUCAUAUGCAAAGGAAACAGGUCUCCACAUAGUUUGUUAAAAAGCCUUGUUGUAGGUGAAUACAAUGUUGAUUAGGUAUAUAAAAACCAUUCAUUGGGCAGAAUCCAUAGAAAAUAUGCAUAGGCCCAUGGAGCACCUAAGACAAAAUUAUAGUUUUAAUUUAUGGCUAACAGAUUCGAGACUCCUUGGUAGUCCUGAUGGAAUUAUUGAAGAAGAAUUAUGUUGUGUUAGCGAUUAUGAUGAAUUUUGUAGCUUAUGAUCUUUAUGUAAGUAAAAAAGUACGGACUGCUACAUGUUAUAUAUAGAAAAUACUAAGGAAUCACUGAAUUACGAUAUAAAAUCUGUUUAGAAUGUGGUUAAUUGUAAGAGAAAUAAUUUUAAUAUUCCAUGUUAUAAGUUUAACACUUUAUUUGCGGAUGGUUUUCAUGUGAGCCACAUAGUGCCACCAUCAAUGUGCAUUGGAUAUAUAUGAACUUCUAAGACGAAAAUAAUUUCAGUUGAGAGUAUAAGUCUUAACUCAUUUUAUCCACACUCAAUGUUAAUGAUUCUGUUUUUAGUGAGCCACAAUCAAUUGUUGAUGCUUUUGCCAAUUUCUUCAGCAGUGUCCAUAAUGCUUCUUUUUCCUGUCCAGACCAGAGCAGUCAUAGUCCCAAUAUCACUCAUAGUGAUAGUGAUAUUCACACUUAACUAUUAAAAUUUGUGACAUUCUAUCAUGUUUACAGUGUCUUAAUGCCAAUAAAGGUCCUGAUACAUAUAGAACAUCUAAUUUGUUUAGAUUUCUGAUGUACUGUUCUUUUAAAUUGUGUAAGCCAUAUUUUUAUUCUGGUAUGAUCAAUUUAUUGAAUCUAGAUUAUCUUCUUGUCAGAAGAGUUAACUUUGACUUCAUAUUUAUUUUUAAGCUUGUAAAUGAGAUAAUCCAAUCUUCUGAAAUGCUUCAGCUAAUUUGUUAUAUUUCUUUCCGUUCACUGUGCCACAAUUCACUUUUCUUUGUUCCUUAUCGCAGAACUAAUUAUGGUUCAAAUACAGGUAUGAUAUGGUCUGACCACUAUGCAUGCAAAUCAGUUACCUCAUAAUUGUUUAGGUUAUGUAUCAAUUGCCUUAGGAAUUUAUUUAUUGUAUUUGAAUCAGUCAUUGCGAAAACAAUCUUAGUCCAUAUUUUGGGUAAAAUGACGAUGCUUUUUGACGCCAUGAAAUUUACAUUUAAACAUAUAAACAUUUAAACUUUUUUUGCCUUUUAGAAAGAUUCAUUCAUAACCCAUAAUACUUAUAUAAAAUAUAGUAUUAUCUAGGAAUAUCCAACUAAUGAAAAGAUUUUUACGUUUCCUGAAAAAUUUACACAUUGUAACAUGUAUUGUUUUCGCAAUGACCGAAUCAUUUAUGUAUUUCUAAUUUUAUAAAUAUAUUGUAUAUAUUUUAAUGCUGAAUUCUUAUAUAAUUUUGACAGUGAUUUUGUCUCAUUUGUUAGUAAUAAAUACCUACAUAUCAAUUAAUUACCUAAUGUAUUAAUGUAAUAUGUAAUAAAAGUUCCUUUAAAAAUUUAUUUUUAUUCCCAAAAUACAUUCUUAAUAGAAGUAAGUCUACUAGACGUAUUGCUUGGAUGUCUAAUGAAGGUCCAAUUAUAUUGUGGACAUCCUCUCAGGAAGCUCGGGAGACGUUUAUUAGCGCGACAUUUUGGACCAAACUAUGCCGUCUGAUGAAGGUCCAAAUGACACCCAGUAAACGUCCCCUCAGGACGUUAGGUGUAUGUUUGGCAGCACCACAUUUGGAUCAAAAUAUAAAGUUGUUCAUACUAAAAUGGACGUUGGAGGGACAUAUGUGAAGGACUUUCACUGGAUGUCCGUGUGUUAUUAGGGAAAUAUUUUGAAUGUGUAUAAAAUGCCCUAAUUGGUUAUUAAAAUAAUUUUAAGUUUUUCGAAAUAAGAUCUUCCUUUACUUGCACAAAAAUAAUAUGUUUACUUAUCUUAAAUAAUAGUUAAUUAAAUGAGUCACUAGUUUAUUAAGUAUUAUCUAUGCUUUAAUCCAGCCUUUAACUAAAUGCAAUACAUAACUGCCGAGCCCUAUAAAGUUUAAGUGAUAUUUCUGCAAUUAAUUUUAUAUAAAUUGAAUAGAAUAGAAAAAAGCUUUAUUCUCAGGAUUCACAAGUUUAUACAAAAAUAAAAAUAUCAGUAGGGAGAAUGGUGUAAAAUACAAUUUAUAAGGGUUUCUGAAACAACCUACACUUAACAUAAAAAUAACAGUCUCCUUGCAGGUCAGCUUGACGGUAUUAUUCCACUUUGUAUGGUUCUAGGUAUAUGAGUAACUGUUGAAUAGACUUUCUAUAUUCUGUAGUUUUCUCAGAUGUUGUUAGUCUAUGUAUUGGUACAUUAUAUAGUUUAUAAAAUUGUUUGGUUUAUUAGAAUUAUGGUUUAUUACGUUUCAUGAAUUUAUGCCUACUUCUAAAAAUGAAAAGGAAGCAUUCAUAUACGUAUGUUCCUGUUAUUGUUAGUAGGUUGAGUUUUUUGAAAUUAUCUCUACAUGAAUCCCUGUAUUUCAAGUUAAGUAGAGUUCCGAUUGCUCUUUUUUGUAAUAUAAAAACCUGUUCAGCCGUACUACUUUCCCCCCAGAAAAUUAUUCCAAAAAUCGCAAUACAGAAUGAAAAUUUGAAAAAAAAAAUAUAUAGGUAACUAACUCGUUUACAUUUUUCGUCCAAAUAAUUUGCUGUUAUUCUGAAAGAGUAGCAGAUAGAUUCAGGGUAUAAAAUUGCAAUUGUAUUUACAUAAAUCGCACUGUCUUUAGAAUAUGUAUAUUAUAGUACCUAUAAUCUAUUAUAAUUAAAAAUAUUUAUUGUGAAUAUUUACAAAUUUAGAUACAAUUUGAUCUAGAUUUAUUAGAUUGUAAAAAUGAAUUGAAUUAUUGCAACUUAAUUAAUUACUGUCCAUUUCAGAAGUUUCCAAACUACAGGCAAUCUCCACUGCUCCCUCAAAGUCUAGAUUCCUGGUGCCCAAUAGUCUUGCUUGUAUUCUUUUGGAACAUAAAACAAAUUGGUUCCUUAUGGCAGACUUUAGAUGUGCUUGAAAAUUGCAAUUUAUAUAGAAAUUAUUGCACUGAUUCUCCUUCUACUUGCUGUCUGCCUUUAAAUCUGUAAGUUUCAGCAAUUUCCAAAGGAACAGGAUUGUAAAAAUUGUCCAUUUUUAACAACUUCGUCCUAUAUUUUAUCUAUCAUCUGCUAGUUAUACACAUAUUUUAGAAAUAUAUACUCUAAUUUUCCAAAAACUACUUUAUAUUUUAUUUUUAUGAUGUAUUUUUAUAAGAUUUUUAUUAUAUCAUUUUAAUAGGUUAGGUAGGUAAAUCAAAUCUUCUCUUUUUCUUCCCAUUUGUAAUACAAUCCAACAAACAUAAAAGUAUAAAAUACUGUUAUACUCUUAUAUUAUAUUUGUGGGAUAAUACAUGUUCUAUACUUUUUAAUCGAUAUAAUACAUAUAAUAACGACAUCAUUAAUUCAAUUUCUAAUUAUAUUAUGUAUAAUUAUUUAUUCUCAGUAUGUAUGUGAGUUGGUGUGUAUAUGAAUAGGGUUGUAUCCAACUUGGUGUGACUUGGUGAUUAUGCGUUUUCCUGACUAUCUCUGUGUUACCGACAUUUACAGUUUAGGCGAAUUGGGGGCGACCCGAUCUUGUCACAAGUGUCAUUCUAAUUUCUAGGGCAACGUUGCCAGUUCAACGAAAAUAUUAUAUCAAACUAGGUAAAAACGGGGCUGUGUGACAGACCGCAUUUUUUAAUAUACUAAAAACUAAAACAAUUGUAAUUUUCCGUCAUCGCAAUUAAGUAUCCAUACAUUGAUUCGUGUUUUAUUAUAAUUUAUGAAAAUAUUUCAAUUCAAAAAUAAUGAUAGAUAAUAAAUCUUGACAUGACUUUAAAUUAUUAUGUUUAGGGCCGGUACUUUAUGUCUUGAUUAACAGCCAGUUAGUUAACGGAUGUUUAAUCGGGACCUCUUUAGGGUCUCUUGCGUUGUAAUAAAUGCAAUUACAAAUUACAAGUAUUAUUAUAAUUAUAAAUAAGUAUAAUAAUAAUUAUAAUUGCAUUUAUUACAACGCAAGAUACCCUAAACAGGUCCCGAUUAAACCUCCGUUAACUAACGGGCUGUUAAUCAAGACAUAAAGUACCGGCCCUUAAUGUCAAAUCGAGAGGUGUGAUUGAUUUCUCGUAAAUUGUAGGACAAAACUGCAUUAAGUUGUGUAGAAUAAAUAAAACACACUGGAAAAAUUAAAAAUUUAAUUUGAAAUUAAACGAAAUGAAUAACUUUUACAGUGAACAAGUGUGGAAUUGAAAUAUAUAUAUUACAAUUCGAAAUAUACAUUUUAAACGUUAUUUUUUUGUAUUUAGAUUUAGUGCAAUUGCGUUAUCUGUGAUGGCAACAACGAAGUGAUUCACGAACAAUAAUUGUCAGUCUGAACACAGGUUUACGUUGGGGAAAAAAAGUGUACCAGUUUUAUAUGCGGCGAAGUGUACUAUGGUUAUAGCCUACUAGAGUUUUUUCUAGCUAUGGACACUAAUAUUAUAUGGUUUUUGCCAGAAAAAAAGAAACCAUAACCUGUGUAUAUGGUACUGGUGUUUAAAACUGUCACAAAUGUAUUGUAUCAUAAAAUUUAUACAUAUUUAUUGUUUUUGAUAACUAAAAAAUAAAGAUUAUUUGUUUUGA
rnacentral:lncRNA from 1 species